AGACCCGAAACCCGGUGAUCUAGCCAUGGGCAGGUUGAAGGUUGGGUAACACUAACUGGAGGACCGAACCGACUAAUGUUGAAAAAUUAGCGGAUGACCUGUGGCUGGGGGUGAAAGGCCAAUCAAACCGGGAGAUAGCUGGUUCUCCCCGAAAGCUAUUUAGGUAGCGCCUCGUGAAUUCAUCUCCGGGGGUAGAGCACUGUUUCGGCUAGGGGGCCAUCCCGGCUUACCAACCCGAUGCAAACUGCGAAUACCGGAGAAUGUUAUCACGGGAGACACACGGCGGGUGCUAACGUCCGUCGUGAAGAGGGAAACAACCCAGACCGCCAGCUAAGGUCCCAAAGUCAUGGUUAAGUGGGAAACGAUGUGGGAAGGCCCAGACAGCCAGGAUGUUGGCUUAGAAGCAGCCAUCAUUUAAAGAAAGCGUAAUAGCUCACUGGUCGAGUCGGCCUGCGCGGAAGAUGUAACGGGGCUAAACCAUGCACCGAAGCUGCGGCAGCGACGCUUAUGCGUUGUUGGGUAGGGGAGCGUUC
rnacentral:rRNA from 3 species